UCCCGGAGUUCAAUAAGAUCAAAACACAAAUAUCGAGUUGUUUGUAUUACAUUACUAUUACGAACCAGUGGCGUAUUGCUAUACAUGUAACUUUAACAUAGCCCUUGCCCAAGAUACACAUUGUAUACAGCAUUUUGAACAUUGCAUACAGCAUUUUGAGAUUAGCAUACGGAUCCAGAGCUAUCUGGCCACACGGACCAGCACUGCCAUCAACAAAAGCGUAUCCUACCUUGGCAGUUUCCUCUGUAUAAUCAGCUAUACUAUAUUUUGCCAUCAUCUAAAACCAG
rnacentral:lncRNA from 1 species